rnacentral:rRNA from 1 species
AGUGAACGCUGGCGGUAGGCCUAACACAUGCAAGUCGAACGGCAGCACAGUAAGAGCUUGCUCUUACGGGUGGCGAGUGGCGGACGGGUGAGGAAUACAUCGGAAUCUACUUUUUCGUGGGGGAUAACGUAGGGAAACUUACGCUAAUACCGCAUACGACCUACGGGUGAAAUCAGGGGAUCUUCGGACCUUGCGCGAUUGAAUGAGCCGAUGUCGGAUUAGCUAGUUGGCGGGGUAAAGGCCCACCAAGGCGACGAUCCGUAGCUGGUCUGAGAGGAUGAUCAGUCACACUGGAACUGAGACACGGUCCAGACUCCUACGGGAGGCAGCAGUGGGGAAUAUUGGACAAUGGGCGCAAGCCUGAUCCAGCCAUACCGCGUGGGUGAAGAAGGCCUUCGGGUUGUAAAGCCCUUUUGUUGGGAAAGAAAAGCAGCAGGUUAAUACCCCGCUGUUCUGACGGUACCAAAAGAAUAAGCACCGGCUAACUUCGUG